rnacentral:lncRNA from 1 species
AUCUUCCUCUCGGACCAGACCUUUCGAUCGAGGAUGAGGUUGAUCAUGUCUCACCUAUCUUGAUCUCGUGCUUGAUGUCCAGUCUCACUGAUUUCGUCAUUUUAUAUUAGGUUACUUAGUUAUAUUUUGUAGAUUGGAUGUAUGAGAGCUUUAUACUCAUGGACAUAUAUUAUAACUCUUGUAACCUCUCAUUUUGUUAUAAUUAAUGAAUGAGGUUAUUAUCAUGGCUCACUUCUUUUUUCUUAGAUGAAUGAAUGAAUGACUGUUAUACUUGAAUGAAUGCACUAUUACUCUGAUACCUGAC